rnacentral:rRNA from 1 species
GAUGAACGCUGGCGGCGUGCCUAAUACAUGCAAGUCGAGCGAACAGACGAGGAGCUUACUCCUCUGACGUUAGCGGCGGACGGGUGAGUAACACGUGGAUAACCUACCUAUAAGACUGGGAUAACUUCGGGAAACCGGAGCUAAUACCGGAUAACAUGUUGAACCGCAUGGUUCAACAGUGAAAGACGGUCUUGCUGUCACUUAUAGAUGGAUCCGCGUCGCAUUAGCUAGUUGGUAAGGUAACGGCUUACCAAGGCAACGAUGCGUAGCCGACCUGAGAGGGUGAUCGGACACACUGGAACUGAGACACGGUCCAGACUCCUACGGGAGGCAGCAGUAGGGAAUCUUACGCGAUGGGCGAGAGCCUGACGGAGCAACGCCGCGGGAGUGAAGAAGGUCUUCGGAUCGUAAAACUCUGUUAUUAGGGAAGAACAAAUGUGUAAGUAACUAUGCACGUCUUGACGGUACCUAAUCAGAAAGCCACGGCUAACUACGUG